GUCCACGCCGUAAACGUUGGGCACUAGGUGUGGGGAUCUAUCGACGGUUUCCGUGCCGAAGCUAACGCAUUAAGUGCCCCGCCUGGGGAGUACGGCCGCAAGGCUAAAACUCAAAGGAAUUGACGGGGGCCCGCACAAGCGGCGGAGCAUGUGGCUUAAUUCGAUGCAACGCGAAGAACCUUACCAAGGCUUGACAUGCUGGGUAAUCCGUGGAAACACGGCGAUCAUUCGGGAUCCAGCGCAGGUGGUGCAUGGCUGUCGU
rnacentral:rRNA from 1 species